rnacentral:rRNA from 1 species
CUACGGGGUGCUGCAGUCGCGAAUAUUCGGCAAUGGGCGAAAGCCUGACCGAGCGACGCCGCGUGUAUGAUGAAGCCCUUCGGGGCGUAAAAUACUUUUCUCUGGGAAGAACUAAUGACGGUACCAGAGGAAUAAGGGGCUGCUAACUUCGUGCCAGCAGCAGCGGUAAUACGAAGGCCCCAAGCGUUAUCCGGAUUUAUUGGGCGUAAAGGGUCCGUAGGCGGCCCGGCGCAUCUCUUGUUAAAUCUAUCGGCUUAACCGAUAGGCCGCAAGAGAGAUGGCCGAGCUAGAGACCGGAAGAGGCAAGCGGAAUUGCUGGUGUAGGGGUUAAAUCCGUUAAUAUCAGCAAGAACACCAAAUGCGUAGGCAGCUUGCUAGGACGGUUCUGACGCUCAGGGACGAAAGCGUGGGUAGCGAAUGGGAUUAGAUACCCUCGUAGUC